rnacentral:rRNA from 1 species
UACGGGGGGGGCAAGCGUUGUUCGGAAUUACUGGGCGUAAAGGGCUCGUAGGUGGCCAACUAAGUCGGACGUGAAAUCCCUCAGCUUAACUGGGGAACUGCGUCCGAUACUGGAUGGCUUGAGUUUGGGAGAGGGAUGCGGAAUUCCAGGUGUAGCGGUGAAAUGCGUAGAUAUCUGGAGGAACACCGGUGGCGAAAGCGAGUUACUGGUCCAUUACUGACACUGAGGAACGAAAGCCAGGGUAGCAAAAGGG